CUGACCCUCCAGCUCUGGGAGAGGAGCCCAGCCCUGGGAUUUUCAGGUGUUUGCAUUUGGUGAUCACGAAUGAACACAGAGACUGAACUCACCAUGGAGACUGUGCUGAGUUAGAUUUUACUUCUUGCUAUUUUGAAAGGUGUCCAGUGUGAGGUGCAGCUGGUGGAGUCUGGGGGAGGCUUGGUUCAGCCUGGGGGGACCCUGAGACUCUCCUGUGCAGCCUCUGGAUUCACCUUCAGCAGCUAUG